rnacentral:rRNA from 1 species
AACGAACGCUGGCGGCAUGCCUAACACAUGCAAGUCGAACGAGACCUUCGGGUCUUGUGGCGCCCGGCUUCGUCACGCGUGGGAACCUUCCCUUAUGUUUGGCAUACCUCCCCGACUGGGGUGCUAAUACCGGAUAAUGUCUUCUGCCCAAUGAUUUAUCGCCGUUGGUUGGUCCCUCGUUGGAUUAGCUUGUUGUUAGGGUAAAAGCUUACCACGGCGACGAUCCAUAGCUGGUCUGAGAGAAUGAUCAGCCACACUGGGAGUGAGACACGGCCCAGAAUCCUACGGGAGGGAGGAGUGGGGGAUAGUGGAAAAUGGGGGAAGGCAUGAACCAGCAAGGAUGCGUGAGUGAUGAAGGCAGUAGGGUUGUAAAGCGCAUUUAACCGGGAUGAUAAUGACAGUACCGGAAGAAUAAGCUCCGGCUAACUACGUG